rnacentral:rRNA from 1 species
GAUGAACGCUGACAGAAUGCUUAACACAUGCAAGUCAACUUGAAUUUGGGUUUUUAACUUAGGUUUGGGUGGCGGACGGGUGAGUAACGCAUAAAGAACUUGCCUCACAGCUAGGGACAACAUUUGGAAACGAAUGCUAAUACCUAAUAUUAUGAUAAUAGGGCAUCCUAUAAUUAUGAAAGCUAUAAGCGCUGUGAGAGAGCUUUGCGUCCCAUUAGCUAGUUGGAGAGGUAACGGCUCACCAAGGCGAUGAUGGGUAGCCGGCCUGAGAGGGUGAUCGGCCACAAGGGGACUGAGACACGGCCCUUACUCCUACGGGAGGCAGCAGUGGGGAAUAUUGGACAAUGGACCGAGAGUCUGAUCCAGCAAUUCUGUGUGCACGAUGAAGUUUUUCGGAAUGUAAAGUGCUUUCAGUUGGGAAGAAACAAAUGACGGUACCAACAGAAGAAGUGACGGCUAAAUACGUG